AUACGUAGGGGACAAGCGUUAUCCGGAUUUACUGGGCGUAAAGCGCGCGUAGGCGGUCUUUCAAGUUGGAGGUGAAAUUCCUGGGCUCAACUCGGGAGCUGCUUGCGAAACUGGAGGACUGGAGGGCUGGAGGGGGUAGCGGAAUUCCUGGUGGAGAGGUGAAAUGCGUAGAUACUAGGAGGAACACCGGUGGCGAAGGCGGCUUCCUGGCCAUAUCCUGACGCUGAGGGGCGAAAGGUAGGGGAGCGAACGGGAUUAGAUACCCCGGUAGUCCACGCCGUAAACGAUGGGCACUUGGUGUCGCGGGUAUCGACCCCUGCGGUGCCGAAGCUAACGCAUUAAGUGCCCCGCCUGGGGAGUACGGUCGCAAGGCUGAAACUCAAAUGAAUUGACGG
rnacentral:rRNA from 1 species